rnacentral:rRNA from 1 species
CACGUAGGGCGCGAGCGUUGUCCGGAAUUAUUGGGCGUAAAGAGCUCGUAGGCGGCCUGUUGCGUCCGCUGUGAAAGCCCGGGGCUUAACCCCGGGUCUGCAGUGGAUACGGGCAGGCUAGAGGUAGGUAGGGGAGAAUGGAAUUCCCGGUGUAGCGGUGGAAUGCGCAGAUAUCAGGAGGAACACCGGUGGCGAAGGCGGGUCUCUGGGCAGUAACUGACGCUGAGGAGCGAAAGCGUGGGGAGCGAACAGG